GAUGAACGCUGGCGGCGUGCCUAAUACAUGCAAGUCGAGCGAACAGACGAGGAGCUUGCUCCUCUGACGUUAGCGGCGGACGGGUGAGUCACACGUGGAUAACCUACCUAUAAGACUGGUAUAACUUCGGGAAACCGGAUCUAAUACCGGAUAAUAUAUUGAACCGCAUGGUUCAAUAGUGAAAGACGGUUUUGCUGUCACUUAUAGAUGGAUCCGCGCCGCAUUAGCUAGUUGGUAAGGUAACGGCUUACCAAGGCGACGAGGCGUAGCCGACCUGAGAGGGUGAUCGGCCACACUGGAACUGAGACGCGGUCCAGACUCCUGCGGGAGGCAGCAGUAGGGAACCUGCCGCAGUGGGCGAAAGCCUGGCGGAGCAACGCCGAGUGAGUGAUGAAGAUCUUCGGAUCGUAAAACUCUGUUAUUGGGGAAGAACAAAUGUGUAAGUAACUAUGCACGUCUUGACGGUACCUAAUCAGAAAGCCACGGCUAACUACGUG
rnacentral:rRNA from 1 species